CAGAUCAGCAUGCUGCGGUGAAUACGUUCCCGGGCCUUGUACACACCGCCCGUCACACCAUGGGAGUCGGUACACCCGAAGUCAGGAGCCUGACCUUUUUAGGAGGGCACUGCCGAAGGUGGGAUUGAUGACUGGGGUGAAGUCGUAACAAGGUAUC
rnacentral:rRNA from 1 species